GAGCGGGAACCUUAGGCUUGGUUGACUUACCCUUCUUUCGAGGAUGGGGGGUUGGGCGUUUACUGGGAAAGCGUGGGCUGACACGAGGGGUACUCUUAGGGGGAAGCUCAGAACGAGAGUUACAACUCCUAGAGGUACUAGGGGGGACCUAUCCCCCUCGCUAAUGGAGAUGUGGGAAGGAGAACCCGCAGGAGGGCUGUCAACCUUCCUAGCCCCAACUGCACGUCGCUUCCUCACGGGUCCCGUAUGUUUCUUGCUCAUCUACUUUCCCCCAACAACAUAUCCACCAGGCCACAAGUCCCCAAC
rnacentral:lncRNA from 1 species